GACGAACGCUGGCAGCGUGCUUAACACAUGCAAGUCGAACGGUGAAGCGCCUUCCUUUUUGGUGGGUGUGGAUGAGUGGCGAACGGGUGAGUAACACGUGAGUAACCUGCCCCCUUCUUCUGGAUAACCGCAUGAAAGUGUGGCUAAUACGGGAUAUUCUGGGUCUGUCGCAUGAUGGGUCUGGGAAAGAUAUUGUUUCGGUGGGGGAUGGGCUCGCGGCCUAUCAGCUUGUUGGUGGGGUGAUGGCCUACCAAGGCGGUGACGGGUAGCCGGCCUGAGAGGGUGGACGGUCACACUGGGACUGAGACACGGCCCAGACUCCUACGGGAGGCAGCAGUGGGGAAUAUUGCACAAUGGGCGCAAGCCUGAUGCAGCGACGCCGCGUGAGGGAUGGAGGCCUGCGGGUUGUGAACCUCUUUCGCCAGUGAAGCAGGCCUGCCUCGUUUGUGGGUGGGUUGACGGUAGCUGGAGAAGAAGCGCCGGCUAACUACGUG
rnacentral:rRNA from 1 species